rnacentral:rRNA from 1 species
GUUUCCCCCCCCGGGUACUAGCAUAUCAAUAAGCGGAGGAAAAGAAACCAACAGGGAUUGCCCUAGUAACGGCGAGUGAAGCGGCAACAGCUCAAAUUUGAAAUCUGGCUCUCGGGCCCGAGUUGUAAUUUGUAGAGGAUACUUUUGAUGCGGUGCCUUCCGAGUUCCCUGGAACGGGACGCCAUAGAGGGUGAGAGCCCCGUCUGGUUGGAUGCCAAAUCUCUGUAAAGUUCCUUCAACGAGUCGAGUAGUUUGGGAAUGCUGCUCUAAAUGGGAGGUAUAUGUCUUCUAAAGCUAAAUACCGGCCAGAGACCGAUAGCGCACAAGUAGAGUGAUCGAAAGAUGAAAAGCACUUUGAAAAGAGAGUUAAAAAGUACGUGAAAUUGUUGAAAGGGAAGCGUUUAUGACCAGACUUGGGCUUGGUUAAUAAUCUGGGGUUCUCCCCAGUGCACUUUUCCAGUCCAGGCCAGCAUCAGUUUUCCCCGGGGGAUAAAGGCGGCGGGAAUGUGGCUCUCUUCGGGGAGUGUUAUAGCCCACCGUGUAAUACCCUGGGGGGGACUGAGGUUCGCGCAUCUGCAAGGAUGCUGGCGUAAUGGUCAUCAACGACCCGUCUUGAAACACGGACCAAGGAGUCGUCUUCGUAUGCGAGUGUUCGGGUGUCAAACCCCUACGCGUAAUGAAAGUGAACGCAGGUGAGAGCUUCGGCGCAUCAUCGACCGAUCCUGAUGUUCUCGGAUGGAUUUGAGUAAGAGCAUACGGGGCCGGACCCGAAAGAAGGUGAACUAUGCCUGUAUAGGGUGAAGCCAGAGGAAACUCUGGUGGAGGCUCGCAGCGGUUCUGACGUGCAAAUCGAUCGUCAAAUAUGGGCAUGGGGGGCGAAAGACUAAUCGAACCCUUCUAGUAGCUGGGUUUCGUUGAGCUCCCCCUUUCAAGGAAA